rnacentral:rRNA from 1 species
AGUGAACGCUGGCGGCGUGCCUAAUACAUGCAAGUCGAACGGAGUGGCUCACGGGCGAGUAAUGUAUAGCUAAUCUGCCCUACACUAGAGGACAAUAGUUGGAAAAGACUGCUAAUACUCCAUAGUGUAGGAUGAGGCUAUAUUGUAUCAGCUAGUUGGUGAGGUAAUGGCUCACUAAGGCUAUGACGCAUAACUGGUCUGAGAGGAUGACCAGUCACACUGGAACUGAGACACGGUCCAGACUCCUACGGGAGGCAGCAGUAGGGAAUAUUACUCAAUGGGCGAAACUGUGAAGCAGCAUCGCCGCGUAGAGGAUGACAAUUUGCGGAGCGUAAACUCCUUUUGAUAGGGAAGCGGUACCUAACGAAUGAGCACCGGCUAACUCCGUGCCAGCAGCCGCGGUAAUUC